GUCAGAGGUAUGGGCUGCAAGUCUGAAAAACACUCCACCAGACAGGACAAUUACCCUCUUUAAAGAUAAAACAUAAGAAGACAGAAAACACUUAGAACAUAAGAACAUAGUAAAACCUGAAGACCAAGAUGUAUCAUCAGAUACAAAAGCCAUGCUAGAAUCAACUUAACACAGGGAUGGAGAUGGCUACGGUCAUUGCUGGUUGAUGGAGUUCUGUCAAAGACCCUGACCCAGAACUAUACACAAACUUCAGUACUUUCUGGCAAUGGGACCCGCUCAGGUCUCACCAUCAGGCCAUUUUUCGGCAUCCCAAGAACACAGCCUAGAAGACGAGCAUGCCUUUGGGAUUCUGAGGCGUUCUGGCCCUGGAGACGAGCCGAUUCUAUGUUGCUGCCGCUGACUGAAGAUCCAGGGGAGAAAACAGAACAUUGGGAAUGGCAAAUAAGUUGCCAGGGGCUCUGUAUUCGGUGAAUCGUGUGCCUGUUCUUUUUCUCUCAUUGGUGGGGGAUAGUCCAUUGCCGACUCUCGAGUCGGAAAACUCCAGGAGAAAAAGCGAUGAGGCAGACUUUAACACCAUAAAUUAGUGAGUUGUUCGUCUUUGUUGGUCUCCCUCCUCUCUGUGAAAGGGUGACACCUUUUUGUCCCUUUAUUAGGGAGAGAGAGCCUGUGGCAUGUCGAAUUGUUGGGUGAACGAUUAGUUUUUUAUUGUACUGCAGAUCGUGGUCU